CUCCCAGCUGCUGCAUGUGUUAGAUUGCGUAGCUCUGGAUCAUUAUAAGUUUAAAAGAGCAGUGACUUGAGGCUGGUAAGAGAAACUUUGAAAAGUGAAACAUGAGGGAGGUGGAGAGUGGCAGCCAGACAACCUCAGUGACAGCACUCAACACCAGUACUAACAUCUUGUAACCUCCAGUACACCACGUGAAGACUAGUGACCUCCAGUACACCACGUGAAGACUAGUGACCUCCAGUACACCACGUGAGGACCAGUAGCCUCCAGUACACCACGUGAGGACCAAUAACCUCCAGUACACCACGUGAGGACCAAUAACCUCCAGUACACCACGUGAGGACCAGUAGCCUCCAGUACACCACGUGAGGACCAAUAACCUCCAGUA